rnacentral:rRNA from 1 species
CCUACGGGAGGCAGCAGUGAGGAAUAUUGCGCAAUGGGCGAAAGCCUGACGCAGCGACGCCGCGUGGGGGAUGAAGGUCUUAGGAUUGUAAACUCCUGUUAAGAAACUGGUGGUAACUUUAAAGAAAGCACCGGCUAACUUCGUGCCAGCAGCCGCGGUAAUACGAGGGGUGCAAGCGUUAUUCGGAAUAAUUGGGCGUAAAGAGUGCGUAGGCGGUGCGUUAAGUCUAUUGUUAAAUCCCCUGGCUUAACUAGGGAACUGCGAUGGAUACUGGCGUGCUAGAGGAUGGGAGAGAGAAGUGGAAUUCUCGGAGUAGCGGUAAAAUGCUUAGAUCCCGAGAGGAACACCAAUGGCGAAGGCAGCUUCUUGGUCCAUCCUGACGCUGAGGUACGAAAGCGUGGGGAGCAAACAGGAUUAGAUACCCUUGUAGUC